rnacentral:rRNA from 1 species
AUUGAACGCUGGCGGCAUGCCUUACACAUGCAAGUCGAACGGUAACAGGUUAAGCUGACGAGUGGCGAACGGGUGAGUAAUACAUCGGAACGUGCCCAGACGUGGGGGAUAGCUCGGCGAAAGCCGGAUUAAUACCGCAUAAGCUCUGAGGAGGAAAGCGGGGGACCGUAAGGCCUCGCGCGUUUGGAGCGGCCGAUGGCAGAUUAGGUAGUUGGUGGGGUAAAGGCUUACCAAGCCUACGAUCUGUAGCUGGUCUGAGAGGACGACCAGCCACACUGGGACUGAGACACGGCCCAGACUCCUACGGGAGGCAGCAGUGGGGAAUUUUGGACAAUGGGCGCAAGCCUGAUCCAGCAAUGCCGCGUGCAGGAAGAAGGCCUUCGGGUUGUAAACUGCUUUUGUACGGAACGAAAAGGCUCUGGUUAAUACCUGGGGCUCAUGACGGUACCGUAAGAAUAAGCACCGGCUAACUACGUGCCAGCCGCCGCCGUAAGAC